UGCCGCGUGUGUGAUGAAUGCCCUUUGGGUUGUAAAGCACUUUUAUCUGGGAAGAAUGACAGGGACUUGUCCUUGGAGAGACGGUACCAGAAGAAUAAGCACCGGCUAACUCCGUGCCAGCAGCCGCGGUAAUACGGAGGGUGCAAGCGUUAUCCGGAAUCACUGGGUUUAAAGGGUACGUAGGCGGUUUUAUAAGUCAGACGUCAAAGGCUGUGGCUAAACCACGGUACGCGUUUGAAACUGUAAGACUUGAAUAUGUUCGAGGUGCAUGGAAUGCUUCAUGUAGCGGUGAAAUGCAUAGAUAUGAAGUAGAACACCAAUUGCGAAGGCAGUGCACUAGGACAUGAUUGACGCUGAGGUACGAAAGCGUGGGUAGCGAACAGGAUUAGAUACCCUGGUAGUCCACGCCCUAAACGAUGCUAACUGGUCAUUUUUCGGAAUAGAGAAGUGACUGAGGGAAACCAUUAAGUUAGCCACCUGGGGAGUACGUUCGCAAGAAUGAAACUCAAAGGAAUUGACGGA
rnacentral:rRNA from 1 species